rnacentral:rRNA from 1 species
UACGUAGGGUGCGAGCGUUAAUCGGAAUUACUGGGCGUAAAGCGUGCGCAGGCGGUUCGUUAAGUCAGAUGUGAAAGCCCCGGGCUCAACCUGGGAACUGCAUUUGAAACUGGCGGGCUUGAGUAUGGCAGAGGGGGGUGGAAUUCCGCGUGUAGCAGUGAAAUGCGUAGAGAUGCGGAGGAACACCGAUGGCGAAGGCAGCCCCCUGGGCCAAUACUGACGCUGAGGUGCGAAAGCGUGGGGAGCAAACAGG